rnacentral:rRNA from 1 species
AGUGAACGCUGGCGGCGUGCUUAACACAUGCAAGUCGAACGAGAACGGGUUAUAGCUUGCUAUAAUUGUCAGCUAAGUGGCGCACGGGUGAGUAAUGUAUAGGUAAUAUGCCUCUUACUAAGGGAUAACAAAUGGAAACGUUUGCUAAUACCUUAUACUCCUUAUUAACAGAAGUUAAUAAGGGAAAGAUUUAUUGGUAAGAGAUUAGCCUGUAUUGUAUCAGUUAGUUGGUGGGGUAAUGGCUUACCAAGACGAUGACACAUAACUGGUUUGAGAGGAUGAUCAGUCAAACUGGAACUGAGACACGGUCCAGACUCCUACGGGAGGCAGCAGUGGGGAAUAUUGCACAAUGGACGAAAGUCUGAUGCAGCAACGCCGCGUGGAGGAUGACACAUUUCGGUGCGUAAACUCCUUUUAUAUGAGAAGAUAAUGACGGUAUUAUAUGAAUAAGCACCGGCUAACUCCGUGCCAGCAGCCGCAGUAA